CACAACUGCUCUGGGGGACCUAAGCUUAGGGUCCCUGGAAGGUGAAAGCAUUGACUCAGCUUUGGCACUGGAGAAGCAGGAUGCUCUGAAUUAGGUUAUUAUCGAUGCAUAUUUGACCUGCUCAUCGAGUCUGACAAGUGACCCGGGAACCAUUUCAUCCUGAUUAAGAACCAUUAUUGGGGAACUAGUACAGUUAUUUGGAGAAAGUCAUGUACAGAGGAGUUUAAGACGACAGAUGGGAAGCAGCUAGUAUACACUGCUCUCAUGGAGAUGAAACAAAGUGGUGAGUAAAUACUAGUUCCUCAAGUGGAUUGUCAAGGAGAUCCCAUGAAGAUUCACCAA